AAGCGUGCGUAGGCGGCUUCUUAAGUCGGAUGUGAAAUCCCUGAGCUUAACUUAGGAGUUGCAUUCGAUACUGGGAAGCUAGAGUAUGGGAGAGGAUGGUAGAAUUCCAGGUGUAGCGGUGAAAUGCGUAGAGAUCUGGAGGAAUACCGAUGGCGAAGGCAGCCAUCUGGCCUAAUACUGACGCUGAGGUACGAAAGCAUGGGGAGCAAACAGGAUUAGAUACCCUGGUAGUCCAUGCCGUAAACGAUGUCUACUAGCCGUUGGGGCCCUUGAGGCUUUAGUGGCGCAGCUAACGCGAUAAGUAGACCGCCUGGGGAGUACGGUCGCAAGACUAAAACUCAAAUGAAUUGACGGGGGCCCGCACAAGCGGUGGAGCAUGUGGUUUAAUUCGAUGCAACGCGAAGAACCUUACCUGGUCUUGACAUAGUAAGAACUUUCCAGAGAUGGAUUGGUGCCUUCGGGAACUUACAUACAGGUGCUGCAUGGCUGUCGUCAGCUCGUGUCGUGAGAUGUUGGGUUAAGUCCCGCAACGAGCGCAACCCUUUUCCUUAUUUGCCAGCGGGUUAAGCCGGGAACUUUAAGGAUACUGCCAGUGACAAACUGGAGGAAGGCGGGGACGACGUCAAGUCAUCAUGGCCCUUACGACCAGGGCUACACACGUGCUACAAUGGUCGGUACAAAGGGUUGCUACCUAGCGAUAGGAUGCUAAUCUCAAAAAGCCGAUCGUAGUCCGGAUUGGAGUCUGCAACUCGACUCCAUGAAGUCGGAAUCGCUAGUAAU
rnacentral:rRNA from 1 species